AUGCACCGACAUCAACCACGUCCACGUCUAGCACAUCAGCCGACAACCAGGCCACCCUGUCCUGACCAACCUGGCAGUUCAACGUGGCAGCAACCACAACACUAUGGUCCCACGUCGAGCUUCAUGUUUUCUCCACAGCCACAGCAGCACGGUCCCUCGUCGAGCUUCGUGUUUUCUCCACAGCCACAGCAGCACGGUCCCUCGUCGAGCUUUGUGUUUGAGCCAGAGCAGCCGUCACAACCAGCGGGAGCCUACAGAUAUCAUGCGUCUAUGUCAGCAUCACAUGAUAGGUGA
rnacentral:rRNA from 1 species